rnacentral:rRNA from 1 species
AGAGUUUGAUCAUGGCUCAGAACGAACGCUGGCGGCAGGCCUAACACAUGCAAGUCGAACGUGAAGCUGGAGCUUGCUCCAGUGGAAAGUGGCAGACGGGUGAGUAACGCGUGGGAAUCUACCCAGUGGUUCGGAAUAACUUCGGGAAACCGGAGCUAAUACCGAAUACGCCCUUCGGGAGAAAGAUUUAUCGCCAUUGGAUGAGCCCGCGUCGGAUUAGCUUGUUGGUGGGGUAAAAGCCUACCAAGGCGACGAUCCGUAGCUGGUCUGAGAGGAUGAUCAGCCACACUGGGACUGAGACACGGCCCAGACUCCUACGGGAGGCAGCAGUGGGGAAUAUUGCACAAUGGGCGCAAGCCUGAUGCAGCCAUGCCGCGUGAGUGAAGAAGGCCUUAGGGUUGUAAAACUCUUUCACCGGUGAAGAUAAUGACGGUAGCCGGAGAAGAAGCCCCGGCCAACUCCGUGCCAGCAGCCGCGGUAAUACGGAGGGGGCUAGCGUUGUUCGGAAUUACUGGGCGUAAAGCGCGCGUAGCGGGCUGGUCAGUUGGGGGUGAAAUCCCGGGGCUUAACCUCGGAACUGCCCU